GUUCCCUGUCACUAGAGGUGUUUAAGCAAGUGUCAGAGAGGUUGUAAAGGGAAUUCCCAAAUUGCUGGAAAAUUGGAUCAGGUAACCCCCCUGAGGUUCCUUCCCAGUUACAACAGUUCAUGGCUGUCUGUUGGAGAUCUAUGUAAGCUUGCUGCUAACAAGUCUGCCCUGGCCUUCCCAACAUCUGGGAGGUAGAGCUGGUGAGUGCUUUUCCUUCCCUAGAUGAUAAUGACCCCUUCCAACAAAUACCUGAUCACCUACCAACCAGCAGUCAGGAACAGAGCCUUCCAACACUUUUUUUUAAAAAAUUAAUAUUUAUUUAUUUGGCUGCACAGGGUCUUAGUUGUGGCACUCUGGAUUUUUGAAGUUGCAAUAUGCAAAUUCUCAGUUGCAGCAUGCGAGGAUCUAGUUCCCUGACCAGGGAUCAAACCCAGGUCCCCCAGCAUUGGGAGUCUUAGCCACUGGGCCACCAGGGAAGUCCCUUUCCAACACUUCUUAUCUUAGCUCAGCCCUAAGGGAACUGACUUUGACUCUGGCUCUGAAGGUCACAGAAAGACAGCACUCAUGCUAUUUAUGCUCUCUGAAUACAUAUCAUGAGACAAGGACUUGGAUGUAGGCAUUAUUUUAGGGGCUGAGUAGGAGUGAGGGAGCAAUGAGACGGGGAAAUUGAAUUGAGGGGACCACUCUGGGUACUUACAGCUCAGUCCUCCUGGGACCACUCUGAGGAACCAUACAGAUCACUGAUCAGAAUUCCUCCCGAGUGAUAAAGUAAUUCCACUAGUGCCUUCCCUUGUUGAUUGAGGUUUGCCCUUGGGAGAGUUAAGCUCCUGAGACUCCCAGGCUGCCUGGCAGGGGCUGAGGAGAGCCUCUGACAGAAGAGAGGCUGUGUCAGAACCAUCCACUGCAGCUGCAGCUGGACACAAAAGUGGGCUGGAAGGACAUGGGCACUAACAACAACAUCUGCUACAGCCCCUUUCCCACCCAGGCCCAGACCUAUCUUCCAGGGCAGCGUGGGACCUUUGAUUUGCACAUUCCAGCCUCCGUGGUGCACAUUCCAGUGUAGAACCUUUGACGGCACAUUGCCGGUUGGCUAGUUCAGCACAGCCCUGUCUGAGUGUCCACCCACAGCUCUACUGGGCUCCAGUCUCCCUUCUGGGCCUGACUCCCUCUCUGGGCUCUCUGGGCUGGGGGCACCGGGCUGGGCCCUCUAAGCUGGCACCUGCUCUCUUCUCCAUCCACAUGUGAGCUGGAAACAGUGACAUCAGGGACAUUGGCUCCAUCGUCCUACACUGUGUUCAAGGCCAGGGAAGGCUGAAGGCUGGAUGGGCUCUGAGUUUCCUCUCACUAUAUCUUAAAAAGAAAAGGCUAAGCACAACCAAGAACUCAAAGGCCCCAAGAAACCUCACUCAAGGCCAUAGAGACACUUCAAAGAUGGGAAAUCAGAGCACUAACAUUGGAGGCAGGGUUCCUGGCCAGACCCAGAGGACCAAUCCAAGUUGGCUCACCACUCCUCUAACUUCUCUGGCCUGCUUUGGUCAGAGCUGAACACCUCUCUCUCUUCCUCCCUUGGUUCCUCUUAUCUUCUUACUCCCACACUCCUGUCUGGUACUCAGCUCUUCUCUCCUCUUCCAUGUUAAUUACCUUCCAGGGCUGCUUCAUCAUCUCUGAUGUUCACAUCCACAAGUCUUUAAUUUUCGCUCUUUUCUUUUCAUCCCUGCUCAGUGUUCUGAUGUCCAUUUUACCACCUUGGAGAGGUGAGGCUGAGAGUGAGUAUUUAUGAUGAGUUAGGGGUGAGAUGGAACCAAGGACCUCCCUAGGGCAGGAAGAGGGGUGUGUGUGCGUGUGUGUUUAUGUGCUGGUGUAGAAUGAGGUUCAAGUUUACCAUUAUUAGCUUAGGACAAGAUCGCUCCCCUAAGGUGGCAAAUAUUAUCCAGCCAGAGGAAGAGCCUGGCCAGCAAAUCCUUUCAGACUCCACCUGAGCCCUUGGAGAGGAUGAGACAAAGAGAAAUAUUGGAUCCGAGCCCCGCAUAUAACAAGUGAAAUGGAAUAAAGAACUAUGGAGCGCCUGAACACUGAACAAAAAAGGGAAGCUUGAAGGAAGGAGGAGAGGUUGGGUGGACCCUGGAAAUUAUAAACCCAUAGACCUAGAAUGUAAGCUCCAUUGUGUACUGAAUUGCUGAUACAUCCCAAGAAUCUGGAACACUAUCCAGGGCAUGGUGGGCCUUCCAUAAAGACAGAAUUUGUUGAGAGAAUAAGCAAUGUGAACUCCUGCUGUGUGUAAGAUGCUGGACCAAGCCUGUUGAGGUGAGUCUGUUCCAGAGAUGACUCUGCUGUGACUCUACACUCAAAGAACCCAUAGUCUAGCUUUGAGUUGAGACGCUGAGCUAAUCACAAUACAAGACAUAAACUGAAGUACAGAAAAAGAGCUGGGCAGUUAGAGGAGGAAGAAAAGAAAGCUUUCGGUCAUGAAAAAAACAGAGUGAUGGCAUGAGCAGGGGCAGAGGAUGGGCUGAAGGGUCAGAAGGACUGGGGCU
ensembl:lncRNA